rnacentral:lncRNA from 1 species
AUUAGAAAUGAAAAUGAGAUUUAACCCUAGAAUAAAAUAUAUUUUAGACGGCACCUUUUAGACGACAUUUUAUUCUACUGUUUUUAAUAUUUGAUAUGUAUUGACAACACAAUUAAAAAUUACUAAUAAGGAUAUUUUUAUUAAAUACUGAUAAAAAUUUUUCGACGCUAUAUUAAACAUCGCUAUAUUUAUUCUGACAUGCUCAUUUAAAGAUUCUUUAUCCGACACUUUUAGAAGC